rnacentral:tRNA from 1 species
CCGGGUUUAGCUCAGUCUGGCAGAGCACGCCGUUUGGGGCGGUGAGGUCGUAGGUUCGAACCCUGCAACCCGGA